rnacentral:rRNA from 1 species
UACGAAGGGGGCUAGCGUUGCUCGGAAUCACUGGGCGUAAAGGGUGCGUAGGCGGGUCUUUAGGUCAGGGGUGAAAUCCUGGAGCUCAACUCCAGAACUGCCUUCGAUACUGGGAGCUCGAGUCCGGGAGAGGUGAGUGGAACUGCGAGUGUAGAGGUGAAAUUCGUAGAUAUUCGCAAGAACACCAGUGGCGAAGGCGGCUCACUGGCCCGGUACUGACGCUGAGGUGCGAAAGCGUGGGGAGCAAACAGGAGUUAG